CCUCCGAACUGCUGAGAAAUAUUGCAAAAAUGACUUCAGCUGCCAAAAAUAAUGUCGUUUACAAGCAGCUCUUCCUAUGUCUAAGGAAGAACUAGUCACACAUGCGAGUUUUUGCUGGCUUGAGAACAAGCAAGGAAAAAGACAAAUCCCACCUACCCUAGCCUAAAAUACACAGUGAGUCUCAGAACCCCGCGGAAGCUGUGGCUCAUUUCUAAAGGUGCUGGCAAUAUCGAGGAAGACUUGUAUCCACAAAAUUCCAAAUGGAAAAGAGAGAAAAGAGAACAACAAACAGAUGUGUGAAAAAAAGACACGAAGUACAAAACGGAUGUAUUAAUGGCAAAUAGAGUAAACUUGAAGCCUGAAAUUGCAGCACUCAUUUGGUGACCAGGAGUGGGCAAACAGAAGGACAAAGGCCUACAAGAUUAAAUAAUCAAGUCAUUAUUGUGAAUUUGGAUCUAAAUGACCUGGCAGAAACCAUGGAGAUGAUCUUGGAUUUAAAGAGGAAAAACUCAAAGCAAUGUAUUCUGAUCAAGAAAUGGCAGGAAAUGGCAGCUACCUGAUAUGGAACAAUCAACAACUGAAGGUUUAUUUUGAAUGAGAGGUGUUGUCCAACUGCGAGACGGAGUGAUUGAAGCUGAGAAUAAAUGGAAACACAAUCAAUAGUCACUCCAGUGAGGUAGGAAAGAAAGCCAUUCCGAAGUGGCAGAGAAGCUGCUUUUUCCUCCUGCAUGCUGCCUGCUAGUGUGGAUCUUGGCAUAACAGACACUACUUGGCAAAAGAUCCAUCCUUCCUUUUCCUAUACUUUGCUCAGCGGCCUGGAAGAUUGACCUCAAAAGCAAAAUCACCUGGAUUUCCUUGCCAUUUGGCUUUCAAAUGUGCUCAGCCAAUGACAGGCUGGAAAGAAAUUGACAGCUGGGAAAAGAGGAAGAUUUGUGUACAAGAUCCCUUCCACUCCCAUCUCAUUACCUGCCAUGGUCCUAGCAGUGGCUGUUCUUAUUAUGGCCACAACUACUCUUGGACAGGCCAACAUCCACAACUCCAUCCUUCAACUAGGCUUCAUUAACACUGUCCCUCACCCUUAUCUCUUUCUGGGUAGGGGUGAUAAAGGUUUCCUGACAUCAGAGUUCCUGAGUGCCUCAUAUAUUCUUGUUGGUCCCUGAACCUUGCCCCAACAUCAAUAAAAAGUUCCUUCAUUAAAUAAUUUUCAGUUGAAUCUUUCGUGCUGGGAUCUGUCCAAUUCGACUUUAGCAUACUUUUCGUGCCAAGAAAGUGAUAGUUUCUUGCCAGGAUUUGGCUCAAAGGGCUCACAGUGGGUGAGGGGAUGAGAUUACUUAUUAAGUGAUAAAAUGGAGAUCACAGUGGUUAACCUGCCUAAGAUCACAUGGUUGGUCAACUCAUGGUCG
rnacentral:lncRNA from 1 species